rnacentral:lncRNA from 1 species
CUAAUUAAAAGGGUCAAUUUUUGUAUCCUUGCAAACUAUUAGAAAUCAGAACCUAGUAUUUUUCUUGGAUCCUACAUAUUUCAGAGAGUUUAUACAAAAAUUCUCAUUAUUUUUGGAUCAUCACACAAUUUAAUACCCAAAUUCAAAUAUAAAACAAAAACUGCAUAAAAGAAAAAAAAACAAGACACUGCAGCGGGUGGCCGGAUUUCGGCCCGCAGGCCGGCCCGCUUCGGCUCGGCCCGCACGGACGCUGCGCACUCCGCCUCCUCUCCGCGCGGUCGCUGACAAGCGGGGCCUGCUCGUCAGCCCCCCCCUCCCUUCCUUCCA